GACGAACGCUGGCGGCGUGCCUAAUACAUGCAAGUAGAACGCAGUUGCGAACGGGUGAGUAACGUGUAGGUAACCUGCCUCAUUGUGGGGGAUAACUAUUGGAAACGAUAGCUAAUACCGCAUACUGUGAGAUGGACCUGCGUUGUAUUAGCUAGUUGGUGAGUUAGAGGCUCGCAAAGGCGACGAUGCAUAGCCGGCCUGAGAGGGUGAGCGGGCACACGGGGACUGAGACACGGCCCAGACUCCUACGGGAGGCAGCAGGAGGGAAGCUGGGGCAAUGGACGAAAGUCUGACCGAGCAACGCCGCGUGAGUGAAGAAGGUUUGCGGAUCGUAAGACUCUGUUGUUAGAGAAGCGGUAGCUGACCAGAAAGCCACGGCUAACUACGUGCCAGCCGCCGCGGUAAUAC
rnacentral:rRNA from 1 species